UGCGUAGGCGGGCUAAUAAGUCAGUGGUGAAAUCUCUCGGCUCAACCGGGAAACUGCCAUUGAUACUGUUAGUCUUGAGUUCGGUUGAGGUAGGCGGAAUGUGUAAUGUAGCGGUGAAAUGCUUAGAUAUUACACAGAACACCAACUGCGUAGGCAGCUUACUAGACCGACACUGACGCUGAGGCACGAAAGCGUGGGUAGCGAACAGGAUUAGAUACCCUGGUAGUC
rnacentral:rRNA from 1 species